rnacentral:misc_RNA from 1 species
GAUGAAGAACGUAGCGAAAUGCGAUAAGUAAUGUGAAUUGCAGAAUUCAGUGAAUCAUCGAAUCUUUGAACGCACAUUGCGCCCCCUGGUAUUCCGGGGGGCAUGCCUGUCCGAGCGUCAUUGCUGCCCUCAAGCACGGCUUGUGUGUUGGGCUCCGCCCCCCUCCCGGGGGGCGGGCCCGAAAGGCAGCGGCGGCACCGCGUCCGGUCCUCGAGCGUAUGGGGCUUUGUCACCCGCUCUGUAGGCCCGGCCGGCGCCCGCCGGCGACCUCAAUCAAUCUUUCCAGGUUGACCUCGGAUCAGGUAGGGAUACCCGCUGAACUUAAGCAUAUCAAUAAGCGGAGGA